rnacentral:rRNA from 1 species
GCUUACAGCCAUAUCAUGCUGAAAGCACCAGUUCUCGUCUGAUCAACAAAGUUAAGCAACAUUGAACCUAGUGAAUUCUUAGAUGGGUGACCACUUGGGAAACAUAGGUGCUGUAAGCA